UAAAUUGCAUAACCUGCUCUUGUGGGUGG
rnacentral:sRNA from 1 species